UCCAGAGGUGGCAAGCGUUGUUCGGAAUUACUGGGCGUAAAGGGCGCGUAGGCGGCUUUCUAAGUCAGACGUGAAAUCCCCCGGCUUAACCUGGGAACUGCGUCUGAUACUGGGAGGCUUGAGUAUGGGAGAGGGAUGUAGAAUUCCAGGUGUAGCGGUGAAAUGCGUAGAUAUCUGGAGGAAUACCGGUGGCGAAGGCGGCAUCCUGGACCAUAACUGAUGCUGAGGCGCGAAAGCUAGGGGAGCAAACGGG
rnacentral:rRNA from 1 species